rfam:Myotis lucifugus cont2.195, whole genome shotgun sequence.
CGUGCACCAGUGGGGUCCCUCAGCCUGGCCUGUGCCCUCUCGCACUCCAGGACCCCUCAGGGAAUGUUGGAGAGCCAUUUUAGCCCUAUCCCGCAGGCCAGGCCGAGGGACCCCACUGGUGCACA